UCUGUUUGUGAUGCUAGAUAAUUACACUGGUUCUUUUAAUCCAGUUGCCUGGCUUUUGUUUCUCUGAUGGAGCCCAGAGGUAAGUCACUGCAAGGACAGAGCCUUUGGGGCUCGCCUCUCCCCUUCUCUUUUCCUCCCCUCUCCGUCCCCCUUUCUGUUCUCUUCUCCCCUCGUCUCCAGACAGUUCCACACCUGGUUUGUUGUGCAUUAGCACGGUGCCGCUGCAGGCACUCAGCUCCUAUUUUUGAGAUGCUCCUGCGUAGAAGGGAGAGAAGAGCGCUGUGGAGUAACCCCCUGUUGUUCCCAUCUGGAGAUGGAUAUGGACGUGUAUGACAGGUGCUGCUCUGUCCUGUUUCUUUACAGGUGUGAACGGGAUGCAGAAUCCCAGCUGGCCCCUGCGAUGGAAGCUAUAGCAGAUGGCAUGGGUACAUCAUGGCUUUUUACUUCCUUUGAGAGCUGCCAGCUCGCAGCCCUAAUGCCAGCCAGGCACGUCUGCAGGAGUGAGAACACAGAGCUGCGUGCACGUGCCCUGUCCCUGCACCAUCCCCUGGUACCAUCUGUGCUUCAGUUGUACCGUUAUGAAGAGAUGUAGAUGGCGGUGCAUGAGAAAAAGAUCUCGUGGUUCUAUUCUCGUGGCAACUAUUAUGACCCAGGCAGGGGCUGGUGCAAGGACAGGGGCAGAGGCAAGUGCAGCUGUUAAGACAAAGGCAGGGGCAGUGGCCGGGCCAGGGGCAAGGGCAGCUCUUAUGACCACGGCAGGUGCAGGGGAAGGGGCAGGUGCAGGGGCCGGGGCAAGGGCAGCACUUAUGACCCAGUCAGGGGCAGAGGCAGCAGCAGCGGCAGGGAUAGGGGCAGGGGCAAAGCCAACUCUUAUGACCCAGGCAAGGGCAGGGGCAGGGGCAGGGGCAAGGGCAAGGGCAGCUCUUAUAACCAAUGGAGGGGCAUGGGCAGUGGCAGGGGAAGGGGCAAGGGUAGCUCUUAAGAUCCACACAGGGGCAGGGGCAGUGGGAGGGGCAGGGUCAGGGGCAAGGCAGCUCUUAUGACACAGGCAGGGGCAGGGGCAGGGGCAGCUCUUAUGCUUGACAGCUCUACAUUGCUUAGAGCAAAGCAGCACAAGCAAACAAAAUGCUCUCCGGUGCACAAGCUGAGAAGCAUACUUUAUUCCUGAGUUGAACAACUCUGAGCAGAAGUACCUCCACACGGUUUGACGUCUCAAAGGAAUUCACAGAGCUCUAAGUAGCUUUUAGUACCUUCCUUUAUAGUCAGACUCGUAUCACCCUUCUGCCACCAGCUGCCACCGCUGGCCUCUCUACUGCUUCCACUGUGGCUUCCACAACAGCACUGUCAUCAGUCGCCCUUUCCUCUCAAGACUCUCCCGCUUCCUUACUCAUCCCCUUAGUUAUCCCCCUGCACCCUGGCUCCACCCUUUCUGUCACCCAGGAACACUGCAUCCACCUGAGCUCCGCUGGGUUGGCCCUGCCUUUCUACCAGGC